GUGAAUGAAUCAACAUCACAACAACUACAACGUCUUUAAGCAGGUACAUAUGUGAUGCGCGGUGAGACGUCCAGCAACUAGUAUAAAAGCGCACCUUUGACGACGAUGUCCAAACAGUAACUCGCCACGCAUCCAUAUCGAACGAUCUAAGCAUUUAAUAAACUUAUAUCAAAGUAAAAGAGACAAGAAACACUUAAAAUGAAAAUAACAAUUAUUCUCUGUGUGUUAUUUCUUUUUGGAAUAACCACAGCUUUUCCCGGUGUUAGUGAAGAAUCUAAAGCAUCUUCACUUUCUCAAUCAACUGUAGAAAGUGAUGACUUAAGCGAAUCCGUUGCUGACUCCGAAACUGACUUAGAAACCGCCAAUACAAUUUGGGGAGGUUAUGGAGGUUAUGGCGGUUAUGGCGGCGGAUAUUACAGACCUCGCUAUGGCGGAUGGGGAUAUACUGGAUAUGGUGGUCAUCGUCGUGGAUGGGGCGGUGGAUGGGGUGGGAGAUACUACGGAGGUGGUUGGGGCAAUUAUGGCGGAUAUUAUGGAGGAUAUCGAAGAGGUUGGGGAGGUGGAUGGGGAGGCGGCCACCGCUGGGGUUAAAAUUUAAAAAAUCAUCUUUAAAAUGUCUCGAUUGGAAUUAAUUAUUAUAUUUGUAUAAUUUUCAUAAUAAAUAACUAAAUUAAA